rnacentral:rRNA from 1 species
UACGAAGGGGGGCUAGCGUUGCUCGGAAUCACUGGGCGUAAAGGGUGCGUAGGCGGGUCUUUAAGUCAGGGGUGAAAUCCUGGAGCUCAACUCCAGAACUGCCUUUGAUACUGAAGAUCUUGAGUUCGGGAGAGGUGAGUGGAACUGCGAGUGUAGAGGUGAAAUUCGUAGAUAUUCGCAAGAACACCAGUGGCGAAGGCGGCUCACUGGCCCGAUACUGACGCUGAGGCACGAAAGCGUGGG